AAGCGGAAGAAGUCCAUGUUUAUAACUCUGUGAUCUCUCUGGAUGUUAUUUUCCAAGAGUUUGUUCAGUACUGAUCAGUAUUCUUCGGGAUGGAGAAUUAUCAAUGUAAAAGAUGCAAACUGCAAAAGCAGGCAUUAGAGAUAUAAGAUUCAUCAUAUAGCUGAACAGCACAGUGUUUGGAAUUAUUUGGAGUAAGAGUUCCAUUAAUGAGAUGGAGGUGGAAGGAAGUUUCAAUCAUGAUACAAAGUACCCAAGAUAACUUCUAAUGUGAGCUUUGGAAUUUUCUUUGACUUACCAUUUCCUUUUUCUUGAUUAAUUAGAUGGCACAUUCAUUCGA